CUGAGGACUCACAUGAUAUGCAAGAGAGAAACAAAUAAAGCAGUUAUUACCAAACUGCUCGGCACUUGGGCUCGGCAAACCAGCCCUCAAAUACGUAGCACAUUGCCUGGCGAUGAAGUUCCUUCACAUGUACAGUACUGAGAGGUGAGAUACAAACACAUCAAAAUGAGGAAAAAGUCGUUCAAUUAUAAAGUAUACAACCAUUUACCGGCAUUCAAGAAAUGAAGGACUUUUCUUCAGAUCAAGAACUGUUAUUUGGUUUUUGAAUGGCAUUCAAGGAAGUGGUCUUCAAUUAAAAAAGUACAGACGGAUAAAAACAAAAACUAGUUAAUACAAAUUAAUUAGAGGCAACCACGCUUCUAGUUCCAUGAUGGCGAACCUAUGGCACAUGUGCCACAAGUGGCAUGCAGAGCCAUAUCUGCGGGCACGCAAGCUGUUGCCCUAGCUCAGCGCCAGUGCUGAUUUUCAGCUGGCCCCGCCCACACCACCCUUCCCCUCCCAGGAGUCUCCACGCAACCGU